CCUACGGGAGGCAGCAGUGAGGAAUAUUGGUCAAUGGACGAGAGUCUGAACCAGCCAAGUAGCGUGAAGGAUGACUGCCCUAUGGGUUGUAAACUUCUUUUAUAUGGGAAUAAAAUGUUCCACGUGUGGGGUUUUGUAUGUACCAUAUGAAUAAGGAUCGGCUAACUCGGUGCCAGCAGCCGCGGUAAUACGAGGGAUCCGAGCGUUAUCCGGAUUUAUUGGGUUAAAAGGGGGCGCAGGCGGUCUGUUAAGUCAGCGGUCAAAGCCCGGGGCUAACCCCCGGCCCGCCGUUGAAACUGGCAGUCUCGAGUGGGAGAGAAGUAUGCGGAAUGCGCGGUGUAGCGGUGAAAUGCAUAGAUAUCGCGCAGAACUCCGAUUGCGAAGGCAGAAUGCCGGCUCCAAACUGACGCUGAGGCACGAAAGCGUGGGUAUCGAACAGGAUUAGAUACCCUUGUAGUC
rnacentral:rRNA from 1 species